rnacentral:rRNA from 1 species
UGCGUAGGUGGCAUGGUAAGUCGGGUGUGAAAUCCCGGGGCUCAACCCCGGAACUGCACUCGAUACUGCCGUGCUCGAGUACUGGAGAGGAGACUGGAAUUUACGGUGUAGCAGUGAAAUGCGUAGAUAUCGUAAGGAAGACCGGUGGCGAAGGCUAGUCUCUGGACAGUUACUGACACUGAGGCACGAAGGCCAGGGGAGCAAACG